rnacentral:tRNA from 1 species
GGCUCAGUGGUUAAGAGCACCAGGUUGUUUUUCUAGAGGACCUGGGUUCAAUUCCCAG